UACGGAGGGUGCGAGCGUUAAUCGGAAUUACUGGGCGUAAAGCGCACGCAGGCGGUUUGUUAAGCAAGAUGUGAAAGCCCCGGGCUCAACCUGGGAACUGCAUUUUGAACUGGCAGACUAGAGUCUUGGAGGAGGGGGUGGAAUUCCAGGUGUAGCGGUGAAAUGCGUAGAGAUCUGGAGGAACUCAGUGGCGAACGGCGGCCCCUGGCAAAGACUGACGCUCAUGUGCGAAAGUGUGGGUAGCGAAACAGGAUUAGACG
rnacentral:rRNA from 1 species